CCUACGGGUGGCAGCAGUGAGGAAUAUUGGUCAAUGGGCGUAAGCCUGAACCAGUCAAGUCGCGUGAGGGAUGAAGGUUCUAUGGAUCGUAAACCUCUUUUAUAAGGGAAUAAAGUGCGGUACGUGUCCCGCUUUGUAUGUACCUUAUGAAUAAGGAUCGGCUAACUCCGUGCCAGCAGCCGCGGUAAUACGGAGGAUCCGAGCGUUAGCCGGAUUUAUUGGGUUUAAAGGGUGCGUAGGCGGCGUUUUAAGUUAGCGGUGAAAUGCUGGGGCGCAACUAUAGAAUUGCCGUUGAUACUGGUAGGCUUGAGUAUGUUUGAGGCAGGCGGAAUGCGUGGUGUAGCGGUGAAAUGCUUAGAUAUCACGCAGAACCCCGAUUGCGAAGGCAGCCUGCCAAGCCAUGACUGACGCUGAGGCACGAAAGCGUGGGGAUCAAACAGGAUUAGAUACCCUGGUAGUC
rnacentral:rRNA from 1 species